UUUAUUGAAGACGGAGAGAGACUGGAAUGAUACAGAGAAGACCAGCAUGGUCUCUGCACAAGGAUGAUGUGCAAAUUCAUGAAGCGUUCCAUAUUAAA
rnacentral:snRNA from 1 species